CAUAAGCCAGCUUGACUGCGAGCGUGACGGCGCGAGCAGGUGCGAAAGCAGGUCAUAGUGAUCCGGUGGUUCUGAAUGGAAGGGCCAUCGCUCAACGGAUAAAAGGUACUCCGGGGAUAACAGGCUGAUACCGCCCAAGAGUUCAUAUCGACGGCGGUGUUUGGCACCUCGAUGUCGGCUCAUCACAUCCUGGGGCUGAAGUAGGUCCCAAGGGUAUGGCUGUUCGCCAUUUAAAGUGGUACGCGAGCUGGGUUUAGAACGUCGUGAGACAGUUCGGUCCCUAUCUGCCGUGGGCGCUGGAGAACUGAGGGGGGCUGCUCCUAGUACGAGAGGACCGGAGUGGACGCAUCACUGGUGUUCGGGUUGUCAUGCCAAUGGCACUGCCCGGUAGCUAAAUGCGGAAGAGAUAAGUGCUGAAAGCAUCUAAGCACGAAACUUGCCCCGAGA
rnacentral:rRNA from 2 species